rnacentral:rRNA from 1 species
GACGAACGCUGGCGGCGUGCCUAAUACAUGCAAGUAGAACGCUGAAGGAGGAGCUUGCUUCUCUGGAUGAGUUGCGAACGGGUGAGUAACGCGUAGGUAACCUGCCUGGUAGCGGGGGAUAACUAUUGGAAACGAUAGCUAAUACCGCAUAAUAGUAGAUGUUGCAUGACAUUUGCUUAAAAGGUGCAAUUGCAUCACUACCAGAUGGACCUGCGUUGUAUUAGCUAGUUGGUGAGGUAACGGCUCACCAAGGCGACGAUACAUAGCCGACCUGAGAGGGUGAUCGACCACACUGGGACUGAGACACGGCCCAGACUCCUACGGGAGGCAGCAGUAGGGAAUCUUCGGCAAUGGACGGAAGUCUGACCGAGCAACGCCGCGUGAGUGAAGAAGGGUUUCGGAUCGUAAAGCUCUGUUGUAAGAGAAGAACGAGUGUGAGAGUGGAAAGUUCACACUGUGACGGUAUCUUACCAGAAAGGGACGGCUAACUACGUG